UAUUGUUGUUUCCUUGCUUUUAAUCCAGAGAAAAACUCUGAUUUUGAUUUUCUCUGUUCUCUUUGCCACAGCCCAUCCCAGCAGCAGCUGAAGCAGCUGACUGUCACAACACUGAAUAACACUUUAGGAGGAAUUUCAGAGAGGAGGGAGCAGAUACCAGACGAGGUCACGGAGGUACGGGGAGGAUUCGCAGCAGACAGCGAGACUGCCACGUCCAUGCGAGAGAGCGAUGGCUACGAUAA